rnacentral:lncRNA from 1 species
CGGAGGGAGGAGAGGUGUGAGAGCUGCUACCUGUCUGUCAUUACAGCCUGUUCUGGGGGCGUCUGGUGAUGUUCGCUGGGAAGCUGUGGCGCGAGGAAAAGCCGCAGCUGCUCGCCGAGCCGGAUGGGGAAGGAGUGGCCGCGCUCAUGACACAACCUGCAGCGCACAGGGCCGGCCGGGGGCAAUGAGGGACGGCAGCCGCCUUCCCCUCACCGCCCCCUUCCUCAGUGGCGCACACCGCCCUCACGCUCGGAUCAAGGAGGCCAGCUUCGCAUUGGGGCCUUCGCCCAGCCCGGCUGGGUCCUCGCGCUCCCGCCUCCCGCCCAGCCCCUUCCCGCGGGAACCGAGGGGAAACCGCCUGAGCCAGGCGUGGGGCUCACGGAGCUCCGCGGUCCCGGCGCGGCCGCCAGGGGGCGCCCGUGCACCAGAGCCGCCGCUGCGCUCCCGCCAUGUGCCGGCGGUGUGGCUGCGGCGGGGAGCGGAGUUAACAUAAAAUGCAAUAAAA